rnacentral:antisense_RNA from 1 species
UUCUAUGGGCGGGCUGUGGUGGGGGAGCCGCAAGGCUCGCCGGCUUGGCGUUACACCGGUCUUCCAAUCCCGCUACGUGCCCGCUCACCCCU